rnacentral:snRNA from 1 species
ACAGAUGUGUGUUUGCUAAAACAGAACAAUACAGAGAAAAUUAGCAUGUCUUCUACACAAGGAUAAAAUACAAAUUUGUGAAGCAUUCCAUUAAAAA